rnacentral:tRNA from 1 species
UCGAACCCAGUAUCGCCCACCGGGAAAGGCCGGUCCGCCGUCGCGGACCGGCCUUCUUCAUGCCACCGGGCCCGU